ACCACAACGGGUGGAGCCUGCGGUUUAAUUGGACUCAACGCCGGGCAGCUCACCGGAUAAGACAGCUGGAUGAUAGCCGGGCUGAAGACUCUGCUUGACUAGCUGAGAGGAGGUGCAUGGCCGUCGUCAGUUCGUACUGUGAAGCAUCCUGUUAAGUCAGGCAACGAGCGAGACCCACGCCAACAGUUGCCAGCAUGUCCUCCGGGAUGAUGGGGACACUGUUGGGACCGCCUCUGCUAAAGAGGAGGAAGGAAUGGGCAACGGUAGGUCAGCAUGCCCCGAAUUAUCCGGGCUACACGCGGGCUACAAUGGUCAGGACAAUGGGUAUCGACACCGAGAGGUGGAGGCAAUCUCCUAAACCUGUCCUUAGUUCGGAUUGUGGGCUGCAACUCGCCCACAUGAAGCUGGAAUCCGUAGUAAUCGUGUCUCAAAAUGGCACGGUGAAUAUGUCCCUGCUCCUU
rnacentral:rRNA from 1 species